rnacentral:lncRNA from 1 species
AGGGCUGUUCAAUAUGGUAAAACCGAACCGUACCGAACCGAACCAAACCGAAAUAGACAAUAUGAUUUGAUUUUGGUAUAUACCAUAUAAACCGAAUAGAUAUAAUUUUAUAAAAACCGUAGGAUUUGGAUAUGGUUUGGUAUAUAACCGAUUAAACCGAAUAAACCGAACAAAACCAAUUAAAAGUAGAAACAUGUAAAUAUGUAUCUAUUUUA